rnacentral:rRNA from 1 species
UACGUAGGGUGCAAGCGUUAAUCGGAAUUACUGGGCGUAAAGCGUGCGCAGGCGGUUUUGUAAGCCAGAUGUGAAAUCCCCGGGCUUAACCUGGGAAUGGCAUUUGGGACUGCAAGGCUCGAGUGCGGCAGAGGAGACUGGAAUUCCUGGUGUAGCAGUGAAAUGCGUAGAUAUCAGGAGGAACACCGAUGGCGAAGGCAGGUCUCUGGGCUGACACUGACGCUCAUGCACGAAAGCGUGGGGAGCGAACAGG